GGCCGCCAUCUUGCUACAGUCAACAGUUUGAUUUGCGCUAUGGUAGCUGUUGUAAGAAGUACCUGACUAUGCCGGACUUUUGUGCAGCCUACGGCUGCUCUAAUCACCGCAGUCUGCAAACAAGAACCCGUGGGAUCACCUUUCACCUGUUUAAGGCAGUGGGAACUCGCCCUAAGAAGAGACGGUUUUGUUUCCUGUGACAGGACACUGCUCUGCAGUGAGCACUUCAGGAGUGAGGAAUUUGACCGGACAGGGCAGACUAAUGGCGAAUCGCUACCACUAGGAGCAUAUAUCGCCACCUACUAUGUAUUUAUUAAAUCUUCAUGUUCCAUGAGACGCAGCACUAUGUUCCCCACAUAUGUUUAUGUUUGCUCAGUCUAAUAAACCCAUAACAUGGUUGUGAAAGAAUACCAAA